UGGGCGCGUAGCUCAGAUGGUUAGAGCGCACGCCUGAUAAGCGUGAGGUCGGUGGUUCGAUUCCACUCGUGCCCAUAUUGGAGAAUUACUCAAGAGGCUGAAGAGGACGGUUUGCUAAAUCGUUAGGUCGGGUAACCGGCGCGGGGGUUCGAAUCCCCCAUUCUCCGUAGU
rnacentral:tRNA from 1 species